rnacentral:rRNA from 1 species
AUUGAACGCUGGCGGCAUGCUUUACACAUGCAAGUCGAACGGUAACAGGGAGCUUGCUCCGCUGACGAGUGGCGAACGGGUGAGUAAUGCGUCGGAACGUGCCGAGUAGUGGGGGAUAACGCAUCGAAAGGUGUACUAAUACCGCAUACGAACUGAGGUUGAAAGUGGGGGACCUUCGGGCCUCACGCUAUUCGAGCGGCCGACGUCUGAUUAGCUAGUUGGUGAGGUAAAGGACUACCAAGGCAACGAUCUGUAGUUGGUCUGAGAGGACGACCAGCCAGACUGGGACUGAGACACGGCCCAGACUCCUACGGGAGGCAGCAGUGGGGAAUUUUGGACAAUGGGCGCAAGCCUGAUCCAGCAAUGCCGCGUGCAGGAAGAAGGCCUUCGGGUUGUAAACUGCUUUUGUCAGGGAAGAAAUCCUCUGGGUUAAUACCUCGGGGGGAUGACGGUACCUGAAGAACAAGCACCGGCUAACUACGUGCCAGCCGCCGCGGUAAGAC